rnacentral:lncRNA from 1 species
UCCAGGCUGGUCUUGAACUUGUGAGCUUAAGCGAUCCACCUGCCUCGGCCUCCAGAAGUGCUGGGAUUACACGCAAUUGAGCCACCGAGCCGGGCCAACAGAGUAACUAUUUCAAGGUGCUUAAGAUACAGUAAUUUAACAGUGCAACCCCAGUGGUAUAUAGCCUAAGGACAAAAAGAAUUGAAGGAAACAAUCUUGAACUGUUUCAGUAAUCAUCUUUUUGGUGGUACUGUUGGUAUUAUUAUUCUGAGGUUGCUAUCUGUGUAUUAUGGGAUAAAGCAAAUGAGUAAUUAUGCUGGUACCAUUGGGAACUGGGACUUUUGGCAUAGGAAAAAGGAAAUAUAAAUAUAAAAUUAAUGUGGUUAAGUAAAAUUUCUGCAGUCCUGAAUUAUAAAUAGAAGUAUCAGUAUGAAUAAUUCAUGAUGUAUUUUAUCUUUAAAAAGUUUUCCACCUACCUCAAAUUCUCCAGGAAACCUGACAAAGGUGUGUCAAUUGUAUUAUCUGGCAACACCGCUUAUGGUAAAAAUGACCCCUGAUUGAUAAAUGACUUCUGGCCUGGGAAUUCUAUCUAAGAAUUAUAAAUACCUAAUGGAAAGCCAUAACUUUGAGCUUCCCUGAAUGUGGUGACUUCAUUUGAAGAGACCCUGGAAGUUAUGAUUGUGGAGUUGUUAUAAUAGAUUUAGUCUCCUAUGGGGUAUUGAGGCUGCUAGGCCAAGGCAGAUCCUCCAUCUGUUUGACAUGAGCCUUGUUCCCUCAUACUAGAAUCGUCUGGGGGUUGCGGACUGGGUAGGAGGUCCUGGAAAAUUACGUGGACUGCUACUGGGAUUACUUCCACUGAAGAGGGUUGCCGGAUGCUGAUCUGCUGUCAAGCUGUAUUUCCUGUCCUGUGUCCUUCUAAGUGAACACGAUGCCACGCGUGGUCUACGGUAGUCUUUGCUCCAGCUCCCCAUUCACUGCUGUAUUUGGUGUGGAUGUCUCUGCAGUAUGAGCUAUUUUAAGGAGUCAGGGCUGGAAGAGACACUGAGAGAGCUUCUGGCCCCCAUUCAAGGACCUCCUCCUAAACACUUCUCUGUGAUGCAUGAAAAGGAGAUGACAAACCUCUGUGCAGGCAAGCUGGGGUGCAAAAAAGCAAGGACAAUAGCGAGCCCAUCCAGAGCUUAAAGGACGUUUAUGGAAUGUGUAUGACUCUGGAAAGAAGUACUAGUGAUGCGCAGACUGAAUGAAGAGGAAGGAACUAUAAAGGGCCCUUUUAGUCUCCUGCUUCUGGAAGUCUUAGGGUCUUACAAAUGGUAGUCAUAGCCAUCUUUCCCCUCUAUCUCCUAUACAUCUCCUGCCAGCCAUGCUGAUGCUACAGGGCCUCCCAAAGUGCCUGUCUGUUCACUCCUCUGGGCUUUGGUAUGUGCCAUUUCUUCUGCCUGGGAUGCCCUCCCUUCCACCCCUUCUGCACCUUGAAGUCCUUGAAGGUCCAAUGCCAGCAAUUCUUUCUCUUUGAAUCUUUCACUGAUCUUCCCCAAAUAAAGUUAAACACUUUCAACACUUCUCUGUCCUAAAACUUCACUUGCUGUAUACAAUUGUUUGUUCAAAUAUCUGCCUCAUCCUUAAGGGAUGGGAUUAUGCCUGUCAGCUCUAUUUCCUAGCCCCUGGGACAGAGUUACUCUUUUAAAUGUCUAUCCUAUAGAAAUAAAAAAUUAAUUAAUGGGCA